rnacentral:misc_RNA from 1 species
GUAGGUGAACCUGCGGAAGGAUCAUUAACACAUACAUGUACUAAACCCACAUGUAUUUUACCCCCCUUUGCAAACGUGUUUUUCUCCAGUCUUCCCGGGCGUGGUAGUUUUUUGGUGUGCUUCGUGCAAACCAAGCUUAAACGUCUGUGGUUUACAAAUUUAUUUAACCCCUUGAACUUUUUUUGACUGACAUCUGAGCCUUAAAACAGCUCUGCCAUUAUAUCAAAACGCUGAACAACUCUUAGCAACGGAUAUCUUGGCUCUC